AAACACAGAGCAGAUUCCAAAUAUGGAAAUAUGGUGUUUGCCUGAUGGAAAAUUCCCGGGGAAACUUUGGAGAAAGAGGGCUUCAUACCUAAACCAGUCAGAUGAGGCCCUCAAUGCUUGUCACUGACCUGGGUCACUACUGCGUCACAGCGUUGAGCUGGACAUUUUUCUGGCUCAAGCCAUGCAUUUUACAGUUGAGAACCCACUCAGGAUUCUUUCUGGAAACAACCUGGGGGACUUUGAUGAGAGGCUCAAGCCUUCUAGCUACCUCACAGUCACCUAAUGUCUUCCCAAUGGGGUAGAGGCUUCUGAAUCGGACAUCAGAACAGACGCCUGAGGCUUCCUGCCAUGAAAGCUGGUCUUCCUGGAAAGACUGACGGAGUUUUGCUCUUGUUGCCCAAGCUGGAGUGCAAUGGUGCGAUCUUCGCUUACUGCAACCUCUGCUUCCUGGGUUCAAGUGAUUCCCCUGCCUCAGCCUCCCGAGUAGCAGGGAUUACAGGUGCGUGCUACCAUGCCAGGCUAAUUUUUUGUAUCUUUAGUAGAGACAGGAGUUUCACCAUGUUGGCCAGGCUAGUCUUAAACUCCUGACCUCAUGAUCUGCCUGGCUUGACCUCCCAAAGUGUUGGGAUUACAGGCAUGAGCCGUUGCACCUGGCCAGGGUGUGUCUUAUUGAAAUUGAACAAAAUACCUAAUUUCUAGAGCGUAUAAGAGAAGUUUAAAAUGCUUUAUGGAUGUGUUGUUUUGACAGCAAAAUAUCUACUCAGAAUCCUAUAGCUAUUUCAAAAUCCAAGUAACUUAGAAAAAAAGGAAAAAGAAAA
rnacentral:lncRNA from 1 species